UAGAGAUUGGUUAUAUGGAGAGUAAUAACAAACUUUAAUGAAAGUGGAUAACGAAGAAGAUGAUGUUUUGACAUUGGAUAGUAGCAGUUCCUGUAUUAGAGUUGAAUGACAAAGACGGGCAUGUCAAAUUGACCUGCGUUGGACCUAAUCUGAUGGACAAUGAGCAUAUUUGUAGGUAAUUUAAGGAAUCAAGACUCAAGAGUGGAAAAUUAUG